UUAACCUAUACUAAAUCUAAGUUAAGCUAUAUUGUUAGCUUUUUAUUGGAGUUAAAAAAACUUCUGCAAUUCGGAUCUCUCACGGCAGCCUCAGUAAACAAAUGGACAUAGAACCUUAUUUCAAGGGCAGUAUUUGAAUAUUUCACUUUAUAUAGAAGAAAUCCACCAAAUCUACCAAAAUGAACUCUACUGAACUACUCCAACUCUGGUUUGUGCUCUGUUUAUUUCCUAAAAAUACUUUUGGAAAUAUCAAAUUUCUUAGAUGGUAAGGCCAUGAGCACAUAUUUCCCCAAAUCUUCAAAUAUCUUAUAAUUUAAGCUAGUAACAAAUCAGCAAAACUAUACAGAAAUUGAGCUUUUUGAGUUAUUUUAUUAACACCAAGGAUAUUGAUAAUGACUUUCUACACACACUGGUGGAAGUUGUGCCAGUGUGCCCCCGAUUGAGGUGACGGCCAGGCAGUGAGGAGAGGUUUUUUCCCUUUUAAGAUUUGGAAUGGGUUUAGGUGGGAAGUGCGUUAUAUGGGGAAAAUUGAUGUGAUCGAAGUGUGGCCGAAAAUGUUAACAACUGAUGGUGGAAGUGCCGCCCUCCGACUAAGGUGAUGGCGGGCUUGGAGGGAAGGGUUUUCUCCUUAUUCAGUGUCGAAAUGGGUAGGGAAAAUCAAUAAUGGUUCUUCCUUCUCAGAGCCUCCUUUUCAUGUGUUAACUUUUUUUAAAAUUUUAUGCCCAAUUUUUUUUACAAUCUCGCUAUUCGUACAUAAGAGUACAGGGUUACUUGACAGAAUGACAUGGCAAUUUUGAAAAGAAAAAAGGAAACAAAAUGGGGGGAUUACUUUCUGGUCCAAAUCCAACAUUUUAUUUUAUCCCCAAAUUGGAUGAACCCUAGCGACAAAAAAUUUCUUCUCUCCACCCCAACGUCAUCCUUCUUCUCCAAAUCUGUCAGACAAUGAAACGACCCCAACAGUAUACAUCUGAUCUAGUUAUUUGGGUAUUCAUUUCGCAGCCAGUCGAUCGGUCUUUUGUCAUUGGCAACCGCGAGCACCAUCACUUGAAGCGGAAUCUAUAGCAAACUUGUUGCUUACUAUGGCCGGAAAAAAUCAUGGAAUAUGUCAUAGUUGUAGAUGCUACGGUCACUUCUUUGCGGAGUGCCCAAAUAAACGUCCAUGCCCGUGGUGUAAACAUGCAAUUGUGAAGUGUUUUCAAGUUGAGAAGGAUAGUAAGAAGAAAGGUAAAUUGUUCAAUUGUUGCACUGCAAACUGCGGAUUAGGAGUGGGUUAAAGAGGGUGAAACGAGCGGUGAAUCAAGUGUCAUUGGCAUUACCUCCACUAAACUUGUGGUGCCUGAAUUAGUUCAAGAUGUCUCAUGUUCAAAACCAUCCGUCGGCUAACUUAUGAAAAAGAUGUGGAGAUUUCCGUAAAUGUGACAAUACACAAAGGACAAGCGACUGUGGAAGAGGAUAAGAAAUGAACGUGGUGGGUCUAAGUUGUAGUUGUUGAUGUAAUAAAAUUGCUCUUUAACUUUGGCGGAGACAUCAUUUCGAUGCCUACUUUGUGGUUAACGUAGUGUGAAAUUUGUGUACUGCUAUUUAACUGAUAUGGGGGCUUCAUUUUGAUGCCUACUAUGUGGUUAAUGUAAUGUGAAAUCUGUGUAGUAAUGUUAUGGAGUUUUUGAA